AUACGGAAGGUCCGGGCGUUAUCCGGAUUUAUUGGGUUUAAAGGGAGCGCAGGCGGAGAUGCAAGCGUGACGUCAAAUUUCGGGGCUCAACCCCGUCUCGCGUCGCGAACUGCGUCCCUUGGUUGCGGGAAGGGGAGGCGGAACUCGUGGUGUAGCGGUGAAAUGCAUAGAUAUCACGAAGAACUCCGAUCGCGAAGGCAGCCUUCCGGCCCGUCAACGACGCUCAUGCUCGAAGGUGCGGGUAUCAAACAGGAUUAGAUACCCUGGUAGUCCGCACAGUAAACGAUGGACACCCGCGGUUUGGCCUGUAUGGCUGAGCCGCCAAGCGAAAGCGUUAAGUGUCCCACCUGGGGAGUACGCCGGCAACGGUGAAACUUAAAGGAAUUGGCGGGG
rnacentral:rRNA from 1 species